GAGGGUAGGCCCCUCGGGAUCGACUUUCAGGAGUAGGUCCCAAAUCAGUUCAAGCGGCUUCGCUUAAGAGGCGCGGUCGUGAGCGUUGAAGCCAUCGGUCGGGAAUACCCGAACGGA
rfam:Bradyrhizobium yuanmingense strain BR3267 contig1029, whole genome shotgun sequence.